rnacentral:rRNA from 1 species
GGAAUAUUGCGCAAUGGGCGAAAGCCUGACGCAGCGACGCCGCGUGGGGGAUGAAGGUUUUCGGAUUGUAAACCCCUUUUAUGAGGAAAGAUAAAGCAGGUAACUGCCUAGACGGACCCUCAGGAAAAAGCAACGGCUAACUCCGUGCCAGCGUCCGCGGUAAUACGAAGGUGGCGAGCGUUGUUCGGAUUUACUGGGCGUAAAGAGCACGUAGGCGGUUGGGUAAGCCUCUUGGGAAAGCUCCCGGCUUAACCGGGAAAGGUCGAGGGGAACUACUCAGCUAGAGGACGGGAGAGGAGCGCGGAAUUCCCGGUGUAGCGGUGAAAUGCGUAGAUAUCGGGAAGAAGGCCGGUGGCGAAGGCGGCGCUCUGGAACGUACCUGACGCUGAGGUGCGAAAGCGUGGGGAGCAAA